rnacentral:rRNA from 1 species
CCUACGGGUGGCAGCAGUAGGGAAUCUUCCACAAUGGGCGAAAGCCUGAUGGAGCAACGCCGCGUGGGUGAAGAAGGUCUUCGGAUCGUAAAACCCUGUUGUUAGAGAAGAAAGUGCGUGAGAGUAACUGUUCACGUUUCGACGGUAUCUAACCAGAAAGCCACGGCUAACUACGUGCCAGCAGCCGCGUUAAUACGUAGGUGGCAAGCGUUAUCCGGAUUGGUUGGGCGUAAAGGGAACGCAGGCGGGCUUGUAAGUCUGAUGUGAAAGCCUUCGGCUUAACUGGAGUAGUGCAUUGGAAACUAGGAGACUUGAGUGCAGAAGAGGUGAGUGGAACUCUAUGUGUAGCGGUGAAAUGCGUAGAUAUAUGGAAGAACACUAGUGGCGAAGGCGGCUCUCUGGUACGUAACUGACGCUGAGGUUCGAAAGCGUGGGUAGCAAACAGGAUUAGAUACCCGUGUAGUC